rnacentral:rRNA from 1 species
GUCGACCGCUGGCGGCGUGCCUAAUAAAUGCCAGUCGCGCGAAGCGGCGGAUGGGUGAGUAACGCGUGGGUAACCUGCCCUUAAGUCUGGGAUACCAUUUGGAAACAGAUGCUAAUACCGGAUACUAAAGGAUGGACCUGCGAUGAAUUAGCUAGUUGGUAAGGUAACGGCUUACCAAGGCGAUGAUGCAUAGCCGAUGUGAGAUACUGAUCGGCCACAUUGUGAAUGAGAAACGGCCCAAACUCCUACGGGAGGCAGCAGUAGGUAAUCUUCCACAAUGGACGAAAGUCUGAUGUAGCAACGCCGAGUGAGUGAAGAAGGUUUUCGGAUCGUAAAGCUCUGUUGUUGGUGAAGCGGUAAUCAACCAGAAAGUCACGGCUAACUACGUACCAGCAGCCGCGGUAAUAC